rnacentral:rRNA from 1 species
UACGAAGGGGGCUAGCGUUGUUCGGAAUCACUGGGCGUAAAGCGCACGUAGGCGGAUUUCUAAGUCAGGGGUGAAAUCCUGGAGCUCAACUCCAGAACUGCCUUUGAUACUGGAGAGCUCGAGUCCGGAAGAGGUGAGUGGAACUGCGAGUGUAGAGGUGAAAUUCGUAGAUAUUCGCAAGAACACCAGUGGCGAAGGCGGCUCACUGGUCCGGUACUGACGCUGAGGUGCGAAAGCGUGGGGAGCAAACAGG